CAGCGCCGCGGUAAUACCGGCGGCCCGAGUGGCGGUCACUAUUAUUGGGCUUAAAGCGUCCGUAGCCGGGUUGGGAAGUCCUCCGGGAAAUCUGGCCGCUUAACGGUCAGAAUGCCGGAGGAUACUCCCAGCCUAGGGAGCGGGAGAGGCCGAGGGGAUUCCCGGAGUAGGGGUGAAAUCCUAUAAUCCCGGGAGGACCACCUGUGGCGAAGGCGCUCGGCUGGAACGCGUCCGACGGUGAGGGACGAAGGCCAGGGGAGCAAACCGGAUUAGAUACCCGGGUAGUCCUGGCGGUAAACGAUGCGGACUUUGUGUCGGACAAGCUAUGAGCUUGUCCGGUGCCGGAGGGAAACCGUUAAGUCCGCCGCCUGGGGAGUACGGCCGCAAGGCUGAAACUUAAAGGAAUUGGCGGG
rnacentral:rRNA from 1 species